GGCUGUUGAGCUAAUUUCCCAAGAUAAUAGCAGUCAAGGUUGCACCAACCCACCUACAAAACUUUGAACCUCCAUUGUUACUGCCUAAAAGAAGUGAAGGGGAAAAAAUGGAGCAGAGUCUGAAGAAAUGGCUAGCCAGGGACCAGCCCAACCUGGGAUCCACAUUAUUAUUUAUGCUGUGCUGUGCUGUCAGCUGACAGAGAAAAUCACUUGAUGACUUAUAUGUUCUAGUUCAAGACUCAGUUUUGAAUAAAUCAAUGUAUACUUGUUG